GGUCUGGUGGUGUAGUUGGUCAUCACGUCAGUCUAACACUUCGAGGCGACUUGACCUGGGCACACUGAAGGUCUCCGGUUCAAGUCCGGGCUAGAUCA
rfam:Glomerella graminicola M1.001 genomic scaffold supercont1.25, whole genome shotgun sequence.